CGCAACCAAUCAGUAGUUUGAUACUGCUCGGAAGACAAGGGAGCAUAGCAAACUCACGUUGGCUCUUCGAAAAAGAAACACAACGUACCACAAUGUCACUAACAGUUUUGAAAUCAGCAUUUAGACUGAAGACAAUCUACAGAUUGCAAAGGAUACAAGGUCAUAUGAUGUCCAGUCAUGCUGGAGCUGAGGUUCUCUCUGAGA